UACGUAGGGAGCAAGCGUUGUCCGGAAUCAUUGGGCGUAAAGCGCGCGUAGGUGGCCUCAUAAGUCCGCUGUGAAAGUCAAAGGCUCAACCUUUGAAAGCCGGUGGAUACUGUGGGGCUAGAGUACGGAAGAGGCGAGUGGAAUUCCUGGUGUAGCGGUGGAAUGCGCAGAUAUCAGGAGGAACACCAAUAGCGAAGGCGGCCUGCUGGGCAGUGGCUGACACUGAGGCGCGACAGCGUGGGGAGCAAACAGG
rnacentral:rRNA from 1 species